GUUUCUGGAAACUUUAGUAGCCUAAAUAACAACUAACUGAACAAUGUAUUUGUGUCUUUCCAUAUAGCACACUGGUGUCACUGAUUCGAAAGAGAAGAGGCAUCAGAACCGACAUCCCGCUGGUGGAACAGGACUCUGCCAAGACACCAGAAGUGGAUGUCAGGCAGCAGGCAGUGGAGGAAAUGAUGCAAAGGAUUAAGAAAGGUGUUCAGCUUCGACCUGUGAACCAGUCACCUAACAGGACCAGGAAACAGAUGGAGAAGCUGCCCUCUAAUUCUGCUAUUCAGGAACUUAAAGGAAUCAUGGAGAAUUUUAACAGAACUGUACAACAACCAAAGGCAGCGUCUCCGACAACAACCCGAGACGACGAGCUGCAGAGGAUUCUGCUGAGGCGGCGGGACGCGCUGGACGCCUAACACAAAGGUCAGCGUCCUCGUCUCUCCCCGCAGUGUGAUGCCACCUGAGCUCAGGCCUCACCUGAGUAUCCAUGUGUACAGAGGAUGCGAGUGACUGAAGACUAAUAUGGAGUGUUAUUACCCAGCCUUUUGUUCUAUUACAUUAGUAUACACUUAAUAACCUCUGACUGUAUUAAUGAGAAUACAGUCAGAUGGAUUCCUGGUGGGUUUCACCGUCAGAGGCAAAGUCAGACAUGUUCCUGUUGCAUCAGUAAUUCCCACUGGACUGUUUGAUUCCAGUAAAAUAAAGGCA
rnacentral:lncRNA from 1 species